UACGUAGGGUGCGAGCGUUAAUCGGAAUUACUGGGCGUAAAGGGUGCGCAGGCGGUUAUAUAAGACAGAUGUGAAAUCCCCGGGCUCAACCUGGGAACUGCGUUUGUGACUGUAUGACUAGAGUACGGUAGAGAGGGGUGGAAUUCCUGGUGUAGCAGUGAAAUGCGUAGAUAUCAGGAGGAACAUCGAUGGCGAAGGCAGCCCCUUGGACCUGUACUGACGCUCAUGCACGAAAGCGUGGGAGCAAACAGG
rnacentral:rRNA from 1 species